UACGUAGGUGGCAAGCGUUGUCCGGAUUUAUUGGGUUUAAAGGGUGCGUAGGCGGCUUAUUAAGUCAGUGGUGAAAUACUCUAGCUCAACUAGAGGGGUGCCAUUGAUACUGAUGAGCUUGAGUACAGAUGAGGUAGGCGGAAUUGACGGUGUAGCGGUGAAAUGCUUAGAUAUCGUCAAGAACACCUAUAGCGAAGGCAGCUUACUAGGCUGUAACUGACGCUGAGGAGCGAAAGCAUGGGGAGCAACAGG
rnacentral:rRNA from 1 species